AGAGUUUGAUCAUGGCUCAGAUUGAACGCUGGCGGCAGGCCUAACACAUGCAAGUCGAACGGUAACAGGAAACAGCUUGCUGUUUCGCUGACGAGUGGCGGACGGGUGAGUAAUGUCUGGGAAACUGCCUGAUGGAGGGGGAUAACUACUGGAAACGGUAGCUAAUACCGCAUAACGUCGCAAGACCAAAGAGGGGGACCCUCGGGCCUCUUGCCAUCGGAUGUGCCCAGAUGGGAUUAGCUUGUUGGUGGGGUAACGGCUCACCAAGGCGACGAUCCCUAGCUGGUCUGAGAGGAUGACCAGCCACACUGGAACUGAGACACGGUCCAGACUCCUACGGGAGGCAGCAGUGGGGAAUAUUGCACAAUGGGCGCAAGCCUGAUGCAGCCAUGCCGCGUGUAUGAAGAAGGCCUUCGGUUGUAAAGUACUUUCAGCGGGGAGGAAGGGAGUAAAGUUAAUACCUUUGCUCAUUGACGUUACCCGCAGAAGAAGCACCGGCUAACUCCGUGCCAGCAGCCGCGGUAAUACGGAGGGUGCAAGCGUUAAUCGGAAUUACUGGGCGUAAAGCGCACGCAGGCGGUUUGUUAAGUCAGAUGUGAAAUCCCCGGGCUCAACCUGGGAACUGCAUCUGAUACUGGCAAGCUUGAGUCUCGUAGAGGGGGGUAGAAUUCCAGGUGUAGCGGUGAAAUGCGUAGAGAUCUGGAGGAAUACCGGUGGCGAAGGCGGCCCCCUGGACGAAGAUUGACGCUCAGGUGCGAAAGCGUGGGGAGCAAACAGGAUUAGAUACCCUGGUAGUCCACGCCGUAAACGAUGUCGACUUGGAGGUUGUGCCCUUGAGGCGUGGCUUCCGGAGCUAACGCGUUAAGUCGACCGCCUGGGGAGUACGGCCGCAAGGUUAAAACUCAAAUGAAUUGACGGGGGCCCGCACAAGCGGUGGAGCAUGUGGUUUAAUUCGAUGCAACGCGAAGAACCUUACCUGGUCUUGACAUCCACGGAAGUUUUCAGAGAUGAGAAUGUGCCUUCGGGAACCGUGAGACAGGUGCUGCAUGGCUGUCGUCAGCUCGUGUUGUGAAAUGUUGGGUUAAGUCCCGCAACGAGCGCAACCCUUAUCCUUUGUUGCCAGCGGUCCGGCCGGGAACUCAAAGGAGACUGCCAGUGAUAAACUGGAGGAAGGUGGGGAUGACGUCAAGUCAUCAUGGCCCUUACGACCAGGGCUACACACGUGCUACAAUGGCGCAUACAAAGAGAAGCGACCUCGCGAGAGCAAGCGGACCUCAUAAAGUGCGUCGUAGUCCGGAUUGGAGUCUGCAACUCGACUCCAUGAAGUCGGAAUCGCUAGUAAUCGUGGAUCAGAAUGCCACGGUGAAUACGUUCCCGGGCCUUGUACACACCGCCCGUCACACCAUGGGAGUGGGUUGCAAAAGAAGUAGGUAGCUUAACCUUCGGGAGGGCGCUUACCACUUUGUGAUUCAUGACUGGGGUGAAGUCGUAACAAGGUA
rnacentral:rRNA from 1 species